UACGUAGGGGGCUAGCGUUGUCCGGAAUCAUUGGGCGUAAAGAGCGCGUAGGCGGCCAGAUAAGUCCGGUGUGAAAGUCAAAGGCUCAACCUUUGAAUGCCGCUGGAAACUGUCUGGCUAGAGUCCGGGAGGGGCGAGUGGAAUUCCUGGUGUAGCGGUGAAAUGCGCAGAUAUCAGGAGGAACACCGGUGGCGAAGGCGGUCUUC
rnacentral:rRNA from 1 species